AAUUCAGUUCAUAUCUGAACCAGCAUUUUGGUUUUUCUAUCAGUUAGUUUCCUCCUAUCAGAACCUUCAAAGUCCUAGCUGCUUAGAUAUAGAAAACCCAACAAAUUUCAAAUUAGCCAAAUCCAAUGCAUAACAACCAUAUAAAUAAAAUAAGUAUGCAAUAAAUUUCCAAAACUUCACAACUUUUAGAUAAGCUAAUCCAAACAACUCAUCUAAUAAGCACAAAAAAAAUUGCAGCUUGUGAUAUGUGUGCUAGUGCACCUCACCAAUAUCAUUAUCCACCAAAUUUUGAACCAUGAACCACUAGCCCUCAAGCACAUGAACAUCAACAACUAAAAGAACCCUAGCAAUUAACAAUUAAUCGGAAAAAAAAAAAAGUAACAAAAUAGUGUAAAUUAGGACUAACCCUAGCAAUGUGAAGGCAUAUAUGUUCAAUAUGUUAGCUAGAUCAUUCAAAUUCAGUUUAUUUCUGAACCAGCAUUUUGUUUUUUCAGGUUCUGUGUCAGUUCCCAGACGAAUGAAAAUAGCUUUGUUUUUUCUUUAAGAAAACCCUAACAAUGGUGAGUGAACUGCAGGUGUGUCAACAAUGGUGUUCGCUUUACUCUCUCUCUCUCUCUCUCUCUCUCUAGCUUUAUAGGGUGAAAUUGGAGAUACAGUGGAGAGAGAAGUGUUGAGUGGAAGGGAAGGGGGACAGAGUGCUGUGUAUAGGACAAAAUCGUAAUUUUGCGACUUCUGUUUUCAAAUAUCACAAUUUUUUUCCAUUAAAGCAACCACGCCAACAAUUUUCAAGUUUUUGU
rnacentral:lncRNA from 1 species